UUAAAAACAAACAGUUAUCCGUGUAUUUUAUUGACGUUAUUUACGAAGGGAUUGUCUCGUGAAAAAUUAAUUUGACAAAACAGAAAGAUGGAGCGCUAAUAGAAGUCUAGUUCUUAGAACAAAUUAUAUGAGGUCGUUCAUUUUUAAGGCAAUAACGAACUUUUGUUUGAAGCUCGCCCUCUCAACACAUUAGACAAGCUCGUUAGUCAGAAUCUCUACAGUUACGCUACAAAUAGAAAAAUCAAUAUUCAGCCCUCGCUAUUUUCUGCAAAAUAACUCACACGUUGGCAUAAUGGUGUCAUGCAGUGCUACGAUCCUCGUUGAAAACAAACUUUGAAAAAUUGUUUAAAAAAAAAACUUUUGGCAGCGACGUUGUGCAACCUUAUUGUUUAUGUUCUGGAAUUGGGCGAUUAGGGCCCCGGGGGCCCCCCCAAGUGGUUGUGCCUUGUGCAUUAUGAAAAGCCUUUGAAGCGUAAAACAGAGGAAGUUCGGUUCAUCGCAUCGAAAGGGAUCCCUUUGUCUUCGACCUCCAACAUCAAUCAUCGGCAUUCCGAUAUUCAUAUUUCCCAUCUCGUCCUAUCGUCUAACGGCAAAGGAAUAUCAAGUACCCCAUCGAUCCCCAAUCUGACAAGGUAUUCUAAGUAUCUAUCUAUAUGCGUGAUAAAGGGUGUUGGAGGGAUAUCCAUUACUUGAGUGAAAGCCCUUUGAGCCCUAACGGGUGGUGCGGAUGCCGAACUAUUUGACCAAAUAAUAUAGCCGGCAAUAUAGCCGAACGCCGUCGUCCACGGUAGCCGAUUUUCGUCAGUUUACGACACAGCCCAAAUGGAUGUAGAAGAUUUGUUGCUGCUCGACAAUUCUUAGUUUACACACAAAUGGAAUGAAAGAAAUAAACAAAAAUAUUGGAAGUUCCAUUUCUAAAGCUAUCCUUGACCACAGCUUACAUGGGGAUAUCUCUCCGAUGAUAGAGUGGAUCACGCAUGUCCCAAGAGCCUGCUCCU